AGACCCGAAACCCGGUGAUCUAGCCAUGGGCAGGUUGAAGGUUGGGUAACACUAACUGGAGGACCGAACCGACUAAUGUUGAAAAAUUAGCGGAUGACCUGUGGCUGGGGGUGAAAGGCCAAUCAAACCGGGAGAUAGCUGGUUCUCCCCGAAAGCUAUUUAGGUAGCGCCUCGUGAACUCAUCUCCGGGGGUAGAGCACUGUUUCGGCUAGGGGGCCAUCCCGGCUUACCAACCCGAUGCAAACUGCGAAUACCGGAGAAUGUUAUCACGGGAGACACACGGCGGGUGCUAACGUCCGUCGUGAAGAGGGAAACAACCCAGACCGCCAGCUAAGGUCCCAAAGUCAUGGUUAAGUGGGAAACGAUGUGGGAAGGCCCAGACAGCCAGGAUGUUGGCUUAGAAGCAGCCAUCAUUUAAAGAAAGCGUAAUAGCUCACUGGUCGAGUCGGCCUGCGCGGAAGAUGUAACGGGGCUAAACCAUGCACCGAAGCUGCGGCAGCGACACUUUAGUGUUGUUGGGUAGGGGAGCGUUCUGUAAGCCGUUGAAGGUGUCCUGUGAGGGGUGCUGGAGGUAUCAGAAGUGCGAAUGCUGACAUAAGUAACGAUAAAGCGGGUGAAAAGCCCGCUCGCCGGAAGACCAAGGGUUCCUGUCCAACGUUAAUCGGGGCAGGGUGAGUCGACCCCUAAGGCGAGGCCGAAAGGCGUAGUCGAUGGGAAACGGGUUAAUAUUCCCGUACUUGGUGUUACUGCGAAGGGGGGACGGAGAAGGCUAUGUUGGCCGGGCGACGGUAGUCCCGGUUUAAGCGUGUAGGUGUGUGUUCCAGGCAAAUCCGGUUCACUUUAACACUGAGGCGUGACGACGAGGCACCACGGUGCUGAAGCAACAAAUGCCCUGCUUCCAGGAAAAGCCUCUAAGCAUCAGGUAACAUCAAAUCGUACCCCAAACCGACACAGGUGGUCAGGUAGAGAAUACCAAGGCGCUUGAGAGAACUCGGGUGAAGGAACUAGGCAAAAUGGUGCCGUAACUUCGGGAGAAGGCACGCUGACAC
rnacentral:rRNA from 1 species